UGGCAUGUUUCUUUUUUGUUCUUGUGGAACGUGGCACCUUUUUCUAUGGCAUAAAAAUGCUCUUGGUCCCUAAAACAGUAGUUUACCGACCUCUGUCCUACUUGUAUGAUUCUAUUGUACCUAAAUCACUAGUUUCUGAGGAACAAAUAUUUGAAAACCUUACUUCAGAGAGCAUAAUUACACAUGCUAGUCUGGCAUGGGCAAGGGCAGUUGCACUAGAUGGCAAAAAAAAAAAAAA
rnacentral:lncRNA from 1 species